AUUGAACGCUGGCGGCAUGCCUUACACAUGCAAGUCGAACGGCAGCACGGGAGCGAUCCUGGUGGCGAGUGGCGAACGGGUGAGUAAUAUAUCGGAACGUGCCCGGUCGUGGGGAUAACGUAGCGAAAGCUACGCUAAUACCGCAUACGAUCUACGGAUGAAAGCGGGGGAUCGCAAGACCUCGCGCGAUUGGAGCGGCCGAUAUCAGAUUAGGUAGUUGGUGAGGUAAAGGCUCACCAAGCCGACGAUCUGUAGCUGGUCUGAGAGGACGACCAGCCACACUGGGACUGAGACACGGCCCAGACUCCUACGGGAGGCAGCAGUGGGAAUUUUGGACAAUGGGCGCAAGCCUGAUCCAGCAAUGCCGCGUGCAGGA
rnacentral:rRNA from 1 species